rnacentral:tRNA from 1 species
UAGGGUGUAUCUCAGUGGUAGAGCACGUGCUUAGCAUGCAGAAGGUCCUGGGCUCAAACCCCAGCACCUCAA